rnacentral:rRNA from 1 species
ACUCCUACGGGAGGCAGCAGUGAGGAAUAUUGGUCAAUGGGCGCAAGCCUGAACCAGCCAUGUCGCGUGAAGGAAGACUGCCCUAUGGGUUGUAAACUUCUUUUAUAUGGGAAGAAUGUUAUCUACGUGUAGAUAUUUGCCGGUACCAUAUGAAUAAGCAUCGGCUAACUCCGUGCCAGCAGCCGCGGUAAUACGGAGGAUGCAAGCGUUAUCCGGAUUCAUUGGGUUUAAAGGGUGCGUAGGCGGAAUAGUAAGUCAGGGGUGAAAGUUUGCGGCUCAACCGUAAAAUUGCCUUUGAUACUGUUAUUCUUGAGUACAUACGAGGUAGGCGGAAUGUGACAUGUAGCGGUGAAAUGCUUAGAUAUGUCACAGAACACCGAUUGCGAAGGCAGCUUACUAGACUGUAACUGACGCUGAUGCACGAAAGCGUGGGGAUCGAACAGGAUUAGAUACCCUGGUAGCUACGAGU